rnacentral:rRNA from 1 species
GACGAACGCUGGCGGCGUGCCUAAUACAUGCAAGUAGAACGCUGAAGGAGGAGCUUGCUUCUCUGGAUGAGUUGCGAACGGGUGAGUAACGCGUAGGUAACCUGCCUGGUAGCGGGGGAUAACUAUUGGAAACGAUAGCUAAUACCGCAUAAGAGUAGAUGUUGCAUGACAUUUGCUUAAAAGGUGCAAUUGCAUCACUACCAGAUGGACCUGCGUUGUAUUAGCUAGUUGGUGAGGUAACGGCUCACCAAGGCGACGAUACAUAGCCGACCUGAGAGGGGGAUCGGCCACACUGGGACUGAGACACGGCCCAGACUCCUACGGGAGGCAGCAGUAGGGAAUCUUCGGCAAUGGACGGAAGUCUGACCGAGCAACGCCGCGUGAGUGAAGAAGGUUGUCGGAUCGUAAAGCUCUGUUGUAAGAGAAGAACGAGUGUGAGAGUGGAAAGUUCACACUGUGACGGUAUCUUACCAGAAAGGGACGGCUAACUACGUG